rnacentral:rRNA from 1 species
GAUGAACGCUAGCGGCGUGCUUAACACAUGCAAGUCGAACGGUGAAGCUCCAGCUUGCUGGAGUGGAUCAGUGGCGAACGGGUGAGUAACACGUGAGCAACCUGCCCCUGACUCUGGGAUAACAGCCGGAAACGGCUGCUAAUACCGGAUAUGCACCAUGAACGCAUGUUCUGUGGUGGGAAAGAUUUUUCGGUUGGGGAUGGGCUCGCGGCCUAUCAGCUUGUUGGUGAGGUAAUGGCUCACCAAGGCGUCGACGGGUAGCCGGCCUGAGAGGGUGACCGGCCACACUGGGACUGAGACACGGCCCAGACUCCUACGGGAGGCAGCAGUGGGGAAUAUUGCACAAUGGGCGAAAGCCUGAUGCAGCAACGCCGCGUGAGGGAUGACGGCCUUCGGGUUGUAAACCUCUUUUAGCAGGGAAGAAGCGAGAGUGACGGUACCUGCAGAAAAAGCGCCGGCUAACUACGUG